rnacentral:lncRNA from 1 species
AUCAAAGCAGCCGGCCCUAGUCUUAAUUCUUACAUUUCACAUCUCUUUACCUUCAUCUCUUUCCCUUCAUCUCUUAGCAAUUCAGGGUUGAUUUCACAGUUUAUCAACGUCACUUAACCAGCAGCAGUCACCACCAAAGUAAGCUCCACUUCUUUUUCCCUUUUUUUAUUAUUUUUGCAUCCAAGUGCUAGCUUUUUCAUUUCGAAAGAUAUGCUGUAAACUAUGUAUGCUUUUAGCUUUUUUCAUCAAGACGAUUUCAAAGAGUCCAUUAGUGCUAGGCUGUUAGCUUUUUUAUUUUUUUCUCAUAUUCUUCAAUUAUGUCAUUGUUAAAAAUUUUAAAAAUAAAUAAAUAUAUAUAUAUAUAUAUAUAUAUAUAUAUAAUAUUAGUGCAAGCUUUUUUAUUUCUUGCUCAUAUUCUUCAAUUAUAUCACUGUUAAAAAAUUAAAAAUUAAUUAAUUAAUUAAUUUUAAUAUAUAUAUGAUCUUUUAUUCUUCAAUUAAUUUGAAUUAUUUCGUUUAUAUAUGUUAAUAACAUUUUAUUUACUUUUUGGUGUAGGAUUUUUGUUUUCAAGGUGAAAAAGACAAAUGAAGAGAAUUAAAGAAAUUACCUUACUUUAUAAUUUGAAUUUGAAUUAUUGUUAUUUGUAUUAUUAGGGAUUUAUAAUUUGGUAUUUGGAUGGCUGCAUAAUAUGGUUUGAGUUAUUUGUAUUUUGUUAUGGGAUGCUAAAUUUGUAAUUUUUUUUAUAUUUUAUUUUACUUAAUUUUGUUUAUUAAUUA